GGCGCCGUGGCUUAGUUGGUUAAAGCACCUGUUUGGUAAACAGGAGAUCACGAGUUCGAAUCUCGUCAGUGCGUCU